CCUACAUCUCUUCAUCUCACUUUUUUUUUUCUCUCUAAUAUCUAGUAUGGAAUUAAAACCUUUCUCCCUCAAUCCUUGAUGGAUUGCAACCACACCCAAGCAAUUUCUUUCCCCUCUCAGUUACAUUUUUCAUAUUAUUUUCAAAGCUAUGAAUUUGAUUUAUGGUGGAAGAUGCUAAGUAUAUGUUAUAGACAUUUUUGUGUUGAUGGAAGUAGAGGAGUGGAAGUAGACAUUUUUGUUGCAUCUAAGUUGAUAGGAGUUUGGUACUCUCUAAACUGAAAGAUUUAUAAUCUCUGCUGCCCACAUCUUUAUUUAUCACAACUCAAAGGAACAAAUUUUUCUCAUGUUAGUCGGUAGUUGUGUAUAAAACACGAGUAAAGA